rnacentral:lncRNA from 1 species
UCUCUAAUAUUAAGGAAUCUUUCAUCUUCUUCAAAUCUCCACUAACCUGCAGACCCUGCAACGAAUUGCAUAUGUUAAAAGGACUUUCGAUAUCUAAUACCCAGAUAGUAGAAUCAUAAAUAAAAAAAUUAUAAGGUAUUAUCAUAUAAUCACCUUGUCCAGCAAUAACUUGCUUCUUUCUCGACCCGUUCAGAUCCAGGAAGAUAAUGUACUGAGGAUAGUUUCUCUUUCGAUGCCCCUGCUUCUUGCAGUAAAGUAUUCCGUCUGACUCUGAUCGAAGUUGGAUUUCUUGAUCUGACU